UAGUUAAGGUAAUAACAUAUUUUAAUAUUGAAAAUGAGUAGACUAUUCCUUUAAUCAUCAACGAACACCACAAACCACUCUGUGACUAGCAGAGUUUUGAAAAUGAAGGUUAAGUGUUGUUUUAAUGACAUGUUUGUGCAUGGCCCUUGACUUGCAUUCUGAAGCAGUCAAGAGACGCUUUUAAACAAGUCAAAAAGUCAAGACACAACCCAUUGUCAAAAUUUCAGUGACCAUCACUGUAGUUCAUCCGAAACAAACCAGAAAUGAGACUCAAAGUGUUUAAUACCGGAAUUAUUCUUUAAGACUUUUUUCUUUAACAAAGCAUUUACAUAAUUUGUCUAGUAAAUUAUACUCAUCUCGCAAAAGUUAGCUUGUACUGAACAAAGCAUUCACAUAACUCGUCUGGGUAAUUUACUAAUGCCGCAAUAGCUAGCCUGUCUGGAACCGAGCAUAUAUUAAAACACAACACUGUCUGACACUUGCAUUGCAUGUGAAUGGCCCCUACGCUAAUAGGAUUUUGUUUCUCUCUCCCUGUCUCGUCCUCAAACCGAGGACAUUGAGACAAACAGACCAGUUCCGGCUGCCGUGGAGGUCAACACACCAAUGAUCUACUGGCUGCCCUUCAACAUGAUGCCCAGCCGAUGCCUGACCACCGACGAUGCAGUGAGGGAGUGAUUCCCCAACAUCGAGGUGGCAGAGAUCUGGGACCUUCUACGGAGGAAGUGCAACAAUGACAGUUACAAGGCCUCCAGUAGUUCAAAUUAGAGCCCGACCGAUUUAUCGUUUUGCCGAUUUUAUCGGCCGAUAUGAGCAUGUCGCAGAUAUAUCUGUAUCGGCGUAUAAGCCGCAGAUAUGCGCCGAUAUGAACGUUUGUUACAGAACACAUUAAAUGCAUUUGAAAGAUGUAAGUACUUGUUUGUCCAGCAGAGUGCGCCAUACUGGUUGCUAAUGGCGACCCAGAUCACUCACUGUAGUGACACCAGCCAAUCCCCCACCCCCUUCACUUCAGUCAGUCAGUCUCUCAGUUCAGGUGGCUGCAGUCACGCAGUGUCUUCUUCACAACAUUUUUACACCUGGUAUUAAGACGCGCUUUGGUCGAUUGGAUUAUAAAUGGACAAGAGAGACGCAUUCCCGCUUACAUUUGGUGUUUUUAAUCCGUCUCUUUGUCGACUUGCGAGUUAAAACGCAAGCGGGAGAAAUGACGCGAGACGGAGAAAUGACACGUUUAAACUACGCGCAGCCGUGCACUUAUAUAACACUAUAUGAGAUUACUGCUGCUUGUGUUGUUAGGUAACAUGCUCAUUUCAGAGCAAUUGAUUCAAUAAGCUCGCGCAACUCUACACCCUUGCAAAAUAAGAGGCGGAGCGAAGACGCUUUAUUUUUAUAAAAGUCUAAAGUUUGCACGGAACCCUGGGUUUGUGUUAUAAAAACGUUGUGCACAACAUUAAACAUAGCGUACAUUAGUAUGUGCUCCGUCAAGCAUUGUCUUCGUAACUGUGAGUGGCUAACUAAUUUGUGAAGUACACAACUGACUGUAAAGCUAAUAUUAAUCAAUUACUUCAUAAGUUUCUCUUUAUAACGUUAUUCUCGUCAAAACUGCAAAUGAUGCAAGUUUUAUGUAUUUUGUUCUCUUUGUGUUUUAAAGUUAUUUAUAAUAAGUCAAGUUUACUGUUUAGUUCACUGAUAUCCAACUAAUUUUGGAUAAUAAAGUUUAUUGUUAACUUCUUGCCUAUAGUACAUAUCUUUGUCACAUCAAUAUAAGUGUUGGAUCACCACAUUUGUGAGUGAUCACCACAUUUGUGAGUGAUCAUUGCAUUGCAUUGUAUUUAUUCAUAGUAUAUUAUGUUAAAGUAUAUAGUGUGUUCUAUGUACAGUACUUUAGUAUAAUAUACUGUAGUAUAUACUGAACUAUAAUGUACACAUAAAGAAUAUCGGCCGAUAUAUCGUUAUCGGUCUUUUUUUACUCCCUAAUAUCUGUAUCGGCAUCGGCCCGAAAAAACGCAUAUCGGUCGGGCUCUAGUUCAAAUCAGAGCUAGAUGUGCAUAUAGUACAAGUUGUUCGCAAUUGUUCUCUUCCCGGCAUUUCAAAGAAAGUCGACUGUUUAAGGUUCCCCAUUUUGCCAAUAUCUGUUUGUGUGUUACUUUUGUGUCAAUAAUAAAGAUCCUUUUUUUGAAA